rnacentral:rRNA from 1 species
UACGAAGGGGGCUAGCGUUGUUCGGAUUUACUGGGCGUAAAGCGCACGUAGGCGGUUUGUUAAGUCAGGGGUGAAAUCCCGGAGCUCAACUCCGGAACUGCCUUUGAUACUGGCAAGCUAGAGUCCGGAAGAGGUAAGUGGAACUCCUAGUGUAGAGGUGGAAUUCGUAGAUAUUGGGAAGAACACCGGUGGCGAAGGCGGCGACCUGGUCCGACACUGACGCUGAGGCGCGAAAGCGUGGGGAGCAAACAGG